UACGUAGGGCGCAAGCGUUGUUCGGAAUUACUGGGCGUAAAGGGCUCGUAGGCGCCAACUAAGUCAUACGUGAAAUCCCUCGGCUUAACCGGGGAACUGCGUCUGAUACUGGAUGGCUUGAGUUCGGGAGAGGGAUGCGGAAUUCCAGGUGUAGCGGUGAAAUGCGUAGAUAUCUGGAGGAACACCGGUGGCGAAGGCGGCAUCCUGGACCGAUACUGACGCUGAGGAGCGAAAGCCAGGGGAGCAAACGGG
rnacentral:rRNA from 1 species